rnacentral:lncRNA from 1 species
GGAGAUUCUUGUUUUUCGAAAAUUCUUCUAACAUGAAAGUAGAGAGAGACAAGUGAAAAUAAACAUGAAAGAGUUAUAGCAACUUCAUAUUAAGGGUAAACCUCAAUUAGAGACCUUAAACCCAGUAUGAGAGUAAUCUUAUAGUCAUUGAAACUAGCUGUAGAAAAUAGCAUACCCCAUUUUUCUUCCCGCCUCUCUUUUCCAUUGAUCACCAUCAUCAUCAACAUGCUAUGAAGUUUGGACACAGACAGGUAAUAUAAGUACGAUAUGAUAGGAACACGACGAUACAAUAAUUUUUAAAAAAUGAGGACACGGAUAUGAUAAGAUAUGAUAAUAAAAAAAUAUUUUUAAUGUUAUAAGUGUUGAUGUGAAUUGGUAAAUGUUAGUUAUAAUGACAACUUGAUGAAAGUGAUUAUAUUUGGCUAUUUUGAUGGAGCUUUGAUUAUGAAAAUAUGGUUGAUGUCAUAUGUUCUCUUAACUUGAUUAUUUGAAUGAUUAAUAUUUGUUUGAGGUGCCUUUGAAUGGCAUAUUUGUUAGGUAUAGGAUGGAUGAAUUUUUGGCAUGUAAUUGAUUAGUUGAAUGUGAUUUUGAGCUUAGGAAUGGAUCUAGAUAUGAUAUGAAUUGUUACUCAUCGAAUGAUGUAGGAAAUGGCUUGAAUCAGGGGUUAAAUAUGCUACACACAGCCUAAGACACGGGCUGUCACAUGGUCGCGUGACAUACACGGUCCACUCACACAACCGUGUGUCUUAUUGUCUUUAGGUGCAGGUUUCACACGACCUGACACACGGCUUGCGACAUGGCCAUGUGACCUUAAUUCGAAUAUCCACACGGGCGAACACACAGAUUGGGACAUGGCCUUGUGUCUGUAUUUCAAACGAGCACACGUUCUGGACUGUGACACACUACUUGGCCACACGGCUGUGUGUCUUUGUAUGAAUGAUUGAAUUUGAUUAUAUGGAAGUUGUCUAAUAUUCUGAAACUGAUGUAUGCAUAAGAUAGUGGUAUGUAUACUAUGAUGCUUAUUCUGAGAUGGCAUUGUAUUAUCUGUUUGGGAAAUAAAUUAGAAUGAUUGAAUAUUUGGUACGAGAUUUGUACUCUAUAUUUACAUGGGUUUGGGUAUUGUGGAGAAAGAAGUAAUCUGUAUAGAAAUAGUGGUUCAGCCACAAUGUGCAUAAAUUUUAUUCUGGCACUCCGUUGCCUUCAGACCUAACUGCUAAGUUGCGUCUCUGUAAAAGUGUCAAAUGAGACUCUAAGGUGUAUAGGGUUUAUUGGGCAUUGAAUGUCUUUAACGGUGUGUUGGGAUGGUCGAAAACAGUGUGUAGCAGUUGGGUUAGGAUUACUACAUCUAAAUCUGAUUUGUAUUGUAUUGUAUCUGGGACUGAAUUUGUAUAUAAACAGAUGUAUAACUCAUCUGCUCUGAAUUAUGAAUUGAAACUUCAUUUGUAUCAAAGUAAAUCUUUGAAUUUGGAAUUAUUUUAUAAGUGAGCACUAGUUGAAAAAUUUUCUUUUACGCCAUGAGUUCACAACUCAUUUUGUUAUUGAUUGAAUUUCAGGUGGAUCUUAGUCAUGAACGGACCGGUGCCGCAGAAGCUCGGUCUAGCUUUUAACUUUCUCUUAAGUAUUAUGUUAGGACUUCAGUAAUCUAUGAUAGUAGAACUUUGGAAGGUUAUGAACUAACUAAUCUUUGUGAUGGAUAUUUUGUGAAGCAUGGUUUAGUAUUAUUGUGUUACUUGUGUGGUAUGUGAGUAUCAACGAUGUAACUCUCUAAACUUGGGUUGGACGUCUAGGCUGGGUUUGGGGUGUCACAUAUCAUCUUUGAAAUUCCGUUGCAAACUUAG